rnacentral:rRNA from 1 species
AGUGAACGCUGGCGGUAGGCCUAACACAUGCAAGUCGAACGGCAGCACAGUAAGAGCUUGCUCUUACGGGUGGCGAGUGGCGGACGGGUGAGGAAUACAUCGGAAUCUACUUUUUCGUGGGGGAUAACGUAUGGAAACUUACGCUAAUACCGCAUACGACCUACGGGUGAAAGCAGGGGAUCUUCGGACCUUGCGCGAUUGAAUGAGCCGAUGUCGGAUUAGCUAGUUGGCGGGGUAAAGGCCCACCAAGGCGACGAUCCGUGGCUGGUCUGAGAGGAUGAUCAGCCACACUGGAACUGAGACACGGUCCAGACUCCUACGGGAGGCAGCAGUGGGGAAUAUUGGACAAUGGGCGCAAGCCUGAUCCAGCCAUACCGCGUGGGUGAAGAAGGCCUUCGGGUUGUAAAGCCCUUUUGUUGGGAAAGAAAAGCAGCAGGUUAAUACCCCGCUGUUCUGACGGUACCCAAAGAAUAAGCACCGGCUAACUUCGUG